rnacentral:ncRNA from 1 species
GCAACCUGCAGCUGGCGCGCCAGAACGUGGUCGUCUUUCGCUCGCUGCUGGGCAUUUCGUGGAUGUGGUUCUUCGGUGCGGUGUUCCUGUCGCAGUUUCCCAGCUUUGCCAAGCAGGUGCUG